GCUCCUUUUCUCUAUGGUUCCUUCUCUUUACCUCUGAGGGCUUCCGCCGCCCGUCGUCCUCCAUGGCGGUGGCGGUGUUGAGGAUCUUGGACGAUGCCGUCCCUCAGGACCUGCCUCCGGCCGUAGGGCUACUGGUGGCCCCAGCUCCGGCCGCGGGGCAGUGGGCAGCGGCGGGGCCGGCUGGUGCGCUGGUCUUGGCCAUCCGGCCGGCCGGGGCUCAGGCGCAGCCGGUGUUAUUGUGCGCGGCGCUACUGGAGGCCGAGGCCGCCUCGGGGCCGGAGUUGUGGCUGGGCCGGGCGUUCCUGAGGCGGUUGGGCUUAGCUGCGGGGAGACGGGUGCGGGUCUGGCCGGUGCGGAGGCCGCCGUUGCUAGGCUGGGUGUUGCUAGGGGGAGCGGCGGCGGCGGCGGCGGCAGGGCGGGCUCCGCGACCGGGGACCGGCUCCGGCUCCAGUGUUUUGGUGCGGCGCGGGGAGACCCUGCCGGGUUCGGGGCUGCUGGUACUGGAGGCCCGGCCCGCUCUGCAAGGGCUGUUGGCCGCCGGCACUCGCUUGGCCGUGACUGAACUGCGAAACAGCGGCGGGGAGAGCCGAGACCGGAGGGAAUCUCCUCUCCUUCCCCCUCCGCCUCUAGUGUCUGGAUGGGCACACGGCGGGGAGCGGCUGGUGAGGGCCGAGCGGGGCCACCCAGCCCUAUGGGGAGGAGGCGAGGCUGGGGAGGGCGAGAGUCUCUGGGUAACCCGCGGCUGCUUGCACAACCUGGGCCUCUUCCAUGGGGAGUGGGUGUCCGUGUCGAGGCAAGAGAGGGGCUCCCCUGGGAACGGGGCCAGCCGCCACCUAGCCACCGUGCGAGCCCUCGACCCCCAGUGGUACUUCUCUCUUCGGGACGUCCAGGACAGGCACCGCGGAGCCUCAGCUGAGGAUGCCUCUAUGAAGGAAAGAGCGCUGAUCCCCGCCACCUUGGCCUUCAACCUGUCCUGCGAUCCUUUGGAAGGGAGCCUCCUUAAAAUCCAGAGAUAUGAGGAAGCUGCUGCUACACGAGAGUUAAAAGGAAGCCGGUCCUUGCUAUCUGUGCCACCCUUUGCCAAGGAGCUACACAUAGAGAUUGUGUCCUCACCAUCCUACAGCACUACAGGAGUCUAUGACCAAAUUCUCUACCAACACUUUCAAACUCCCAGGCUAAUCCAAGAGGAAGAUAUUCUGUGUGUUCCAACAGUCGGGCAUCCUGAGUUCUUAGAAGGAAAUUCAGCGAACUUCUUUAGAUGGCCAGAGCUCUACUUCAAGGUGAAAAAGAUACUAGCAGCAGAAGAAAAGGAGCAGAGCACGGGGUACCUGGCUGACACCCAGAACACAUCUUUAUUCCUGGUUGGUUCAACAAACAGUGCUGUUCCAUCUUUCCCGUCUCAAAAUGCCCAUGGGUUUUGGAGUAGUUUAUCUCCUGCUGGGCUCUGCACCGUAGUGAAACAGCUCUGUGACAUUCUUGGGCCUCACUUACACAGUAGAGGAACUCUGCUAAAUGGAUCUGGAAGCAUUCUUCUGUCAGGACCCAGUGGUGUGGGGAAAAUGACAGCUGUCAGAGCUGCCUGUAGCCGCCUCAAUCUCCAUUUGUUCAAGGUGGAUUGUGUUAGUUUGUGUGGUGACACCAGUGGAUCUACGGAAGCAAAACUGCAUGCUGUGUUCUCUCAGGCUGAGCUCUAUAGCCCUUGUGUCCUGCUAAUGAAAGAUAUAGAGCUGCUGGGAAGAGAUCGUGAUGGACUUGGGGAGGACUCCAGAGUCAUCCUUGCAUUAAGGCACCUUCUCCUGGACAGAGAGGCAAGUACUAGUUAUCCGGUCCUAGUAGUAGCCACAACAAACAGGCUUGGGAAUGUCCCUACAGACUUACAAACAGCUUUUAUUCAUGAGGUGAAAAUUGAAGCACCAUCUGAAUUGCAGAGGAAGGCCAUUCUAAGUAUGCUAAUGGAGAGCUUCCCAUUGGGCAAAGAAGUGAGCCUGACAAAGCUAGCUCGGCAAAGUGCGGGCUUUGUUCUAGGAGAUUUCUGCGCUUUACUUUCCCACAGCAGCCGUGCAGCCUGCUCUAGGAUUCAGAAUUCAAGCUUCCCAGGGGGACCAAGUGAGGAAGAGGAGCAUGAUUUUUGUGCUGCUGGCUUCCCUCUCCUAGCAGAUGAUUUCGGAGCAGCUCUGGAAAAACUGCAUGAUGCUCAUUCACAGAUGAUAGGAGCUCCAAAGAUACCCUCUGUCUUCUGGCAUGAUGUUGGUGGGCUCCAGGAUGUGAAGAAGGAGAUCUUGGACACCAUUCAGCUUCCCCUAGAACACCCAGAGCUACUAUCGUUAGGUCUUCGCCGUUCUGGCCUUCUGCUCUAUGGUCCUCCUGGAACAGGAAAAACGUUGCUAGCGAAAGCUGUAGCAACUGAGUGCACCAUGACUUUCCUCAGUGUGAAGGGCCCAGAGCUCAUCAACAUGUACGUUGGGCAAAGUGAAGAGAAUGUGCGUGAAGUGUUUGCUAAAGCCAGGACAGCUGCUCCCUGCAUUAUCUUUUUUGAUGAGCUCGAUUCCUUGGCACCCAAUCGUGGGCGGAGUGGAGACUCAGGGGGUGUAAUGGACCGAGUUGUGUCUCAGCUACUAGCGGAGCUUGAUGGACUUCAUUCUUCUCAAGACGUGUUUGUUAUUGGAGCUACAAACAGACCUGAUCUUCUGGAUCCAGCAUUGCUCCGACCAGGCAGAUUUGAUAAAUUGGUCUAUGUAGGUGUAAAUGAAGACCGAGACUCUCAGCUGCAAGUACUAAAUGCCAUCACCGGAAAGUUUAAGCUGGAUCCUUCAGUGAGUCUCCUAGGUGUCCUUGAUAAAUGUCCUGUACAGCUAACAGGGGCAGACUUGUAUGCACUUUGCUCAGAUGCCAUGAUGUCUGCUAUCAAAAGAAAAGUGGAGUGGAUUGAGGAAGGGGUAGAUACAGAGACUGCAGAGCUAACUCUAACCAUGGAGGACUUUCUACAAGCUGCAACAAGGCUGCAGCCUUCUGUGUCUGAACCGGAACUGCUUAGAUACAAACUGAUCCAGCAGAGAUUUGCUGCUUGAUGAGGAUCCGAUGAGACUGGAAAGGAAUGCAUAUAUAUGACUGGAACUGUAUAAUCCCGAGGAUUCUGGAAUACAUUUUUGACAUGUUAAUGUCAGUUCUGUUGGAGAAAUGAAAACAGUGAAUUCUCACAAAAAGUGAGAAUGAGAUCCAGGCUUGGACUGAGACUGAUGGCUGCUUAGCAGGCUGGGAACUAUCUCAGGUUACUCCUCAUGUGUGCUCCAGGACCACUGCUGAUAUAUCAGUUCAUUUUGUUGAAACCUCCAGUAGAAAACUUUCGGAUGCUAAUAACCUGGACCCAUGAAUGUUGGGGGGCUUGAGAAGUGGCUCUCCUGCAUGUGACUCCUCAAUAAGAACAUAAUAACAUAAGAAGAGUCUGACUGCUUGAUCAGACUAAAGACCCAGCUAGUCCACCACCCUGUUCUCAUCAUAGCCAAGAAUGGGCUAACCCCACUUGUGAUUCCCAACAACAGCUGCUGAAGUAACCAUCUAACUUUUCCUGUAUAACAUUCAGAUCCUCCCAUCUUUGAAGACUUUGAUGCUUCAGUGUCUAAUGGAUUAGUACACACCUUCCUUUGCUGCUGUGGUUAUAAACAAAAUUACUAAGUUAAAUGAAAGCCAAGGCUUGGCCUUAAGGAACUUGCCUUUCCCCAGAUUCUAAUGUUGCUUCCCUCCCUACACAUCUAGCAGCCAGAACCCAGGAUUACAUUCAUCCCAUCCCUGUGCUUCCCGCAUGGCAUCAACCAACAAUACCAGAAAUGAGGCGACUUGCAGGUGCUAUUGAGCUAUCACAGGCUAAUCUUGGUGUGGAAAGGAACCUGAUGGCCAGGCAAUAAUGAAGCCAACAUUGCCAGAAGAUAUCCAAGGGAUCUAACCAAUGGCAGAAGACCAGCUGGCAAGAGGUGCAAAGUGCACUCCUACUACAAAGUGGGAUUUUCUGAAGAGGCCAGAGACACCAUGGCUCCUUGCAUUGAAGUAAAAAGGAGGAAAGACUACCAAGAAGGUCUUAUGUGGUCUCAGUUCAUUGGGAAGUGACAGGAGGGAGGAUGCAUGCUCAUCUGGGAGUCUGGUAAUAAACAGUUUAUCUGCAAGAUCUUAUGUACCUCAUGUUGUGUCAUCUCCACAGGACAUGGAAGCAAGACCCUGAGGCAAUGGAAGGCACCAGUUAACCCACACUUCUCCAUGACAAAACACCCAUGUGCGUAAAAGGUCACUUCAGAAUACAAAAUCCAUAUGCAUGUUCCACCAGGGAUAAACAACAACAUCUAAAUAUUUUGGCACCCUAUGGUAUUAAUCAGCAUAGUAAGAAUUCUGCAGUUUUAGGAGCUGCAGUAGGUAACUCUUAAGGGAUUUUUAGCUGAAUUAUUCAACAUCAAGACACUGAUUUGCAAAUUGUUCUUUUGUGGAUCUUGUUAAGAGUCACAAAUUUCCAACUUCUGCUGGUCAUGAAAAUGUUGAACAAACAAUAAUUACAUUGGCCUAACACUGUCUAUCUUUGAUGUUAAACACACACACACAUGCUCUGCAAUACCACAUUCAUCUCAAGGCUGCCAGGUCAUUAAAAAAAUUAACAACAAAAUGAUUUCUAUUUAAAAAAUCUGUUGACUGAGCUGAGCACCUAUAAACUGCAGGCAAAAUCAUAGGAAGAACUUUUAGUUCUACAUAUCCCUGUAGGAAAUCUGAUGCUAACAGAAUUCUGAAGAUUGCUGACUAGGCUGAUUCCAUUAUAUUGUUUCCAUGCAAAUGCAGAAAAGUCACUAGCUGUAGAAUUCAAGAUCUCAAUAACUUUUAAUAUUCAAAAAGAAAACAAGUUUCUAGUCCUUAUGGCUAAAAGGAUAGUUUUUUUAAUCACCAAUGUCUGCAGAAAUCUCUAAAUCUGGAGUGGGACUUUGUAACAAUUCCAGGGGUCCCAAGGUGCAGUUUCAGUGUCCUGUAUGGUUCACUGUCACACAUCACAGAGCAAAAUAAGUUACGGGGAUAUGCACAAUUUGCAUAACAUACAGCUUGCAGAAUUUUGAUUAUUUGAGUGCAGAAUUUAUAAUGAUUAUUCCAGUAUACAGUCCUAAUCACUGAGAUGGCAUGCACAACUUGGAACAAUUGUGCAUGUCAGCACCAUUGUUGAAAUAGAUGAAUUGAUCCAUACUAUUAGUUAACCUCUCUCCACGAGCCUCUUAUAAAGGCAUUAAUAUUUUGUGAAUCAUUAAUCAUCAUGGUGUUUAUUCCCUUCUCCCCACAACUCACAAAGACCCAAAUAGGAAUUAUAACCGUCUUUAGAUUUCACUGAUCAGGUUUCAAAAGGCUGAAAUAUUUUUAGACCCUGUUUUUGUUUAUAGUACACAUGUAAUUACAAAUACAGGAGGGGCACCAUGCCACAUCUUUGGCCUAUAACGGUAGAAAUGAGGGUCUCCCCAUGCCCUUUAUAGAUCAGUAAUUCAGGCAAGGACUACCCUCCUCACCAAGUUCAGUCCCAAAAGGGAUGUGUCAACAAGGAGCUCAUUACAACAUUGGCAUUCCACCAGUUGCUUCAGUGGCACUGAUCAUAUUUCAUCAUGUACUUGCAGCCUAAACAUAACUUUCUGCUAACUAAUGUUAACAUAACUUGCAAGAGAUGGUCAAACCCCCAUUAUUGGAAGUGUUUAAAACUUGACCCUCAAACUACCCAAGGCAAGAGCAACUGGUACAUGUUAUUGCCUUAGCCUAAAACUGAUUCACAUAUCUUGUGUCCUUAACAGGGAGCUUGGAGACUAUUAAGGCUAAGCGCAGCAACAGAACUUUUAUUUGCCCAAGUCAUAGAUAAAUGCUAAAAGAUACAUAAGUGUUUAUAACCAAAUCAGGGAUACAAGUUUUUAAAUUAUGUGAUAAGCAACUAACAUUUAAGAUUAUCAAUUUUAAGCUGCCAAGGCAAAUUGUAAUUGAUGGGACUGCGAUUUAAGGGUACACUUGUUCACUUA